AUUGAACGCUGGCGGCGUGCCUAAUACAUGCAAGUCGAACGCAGUGGGGACGGGUGAGUAACACGUGGGUAACCUCCCAUCAGAAGGGAUAACACUUGGAAACAGGUGCUAAACCGAUACUGAUGGAUGAACCCGCUGUGCCUUUGCUAGUUGGUGAGGUAACGGCUCACCAAGGCCACGAUGCAUCGCCGACCGGAGAGGGUGAUGGGCAACACUGGGACUGAGACACGGCCCAGACUCCUACGGGAGGCAGCAGUGGGGAAUAUUGGACAAGGGGCGAAGGCCUGAUCCAGCCAUGCCGCGUGGGUGAAGAAGGUCUUCGGAUUGUAAAGCACUUUAAGUUGGGAGGCGUUACCAACAGAAUAAGCACCGGCUAACUUCGUGCCAGCAGCCGCGGUAAUAC
rnacentral:rRNA from 1 species